AUCACAUAUUAUCUUAAACCCACUAUUAGUAUUGAAUAAUUUCAUAAAUUAUGAAAACUACCAUGCUAGAACUAGUAACAAGAAAAUGAAUUUCUCCAAAGUGUAAAUAUAAACCAAAAUGGACAACCCAUUGGUACUUAGCGAUUCUGAGCCAACUAUAAUAACAUAACUAGAAAAUUUUAUAAUUAACAUCGUUACCCUUACACAAGAACACUUCCGGAAAGAUUAAAAGGAUAAGAAGGAACUCGGCAAAUUUUAGCCCCGCCUGUUUACCAAAAACAUCGCCUCUUGCUUUACAUAAGAGGUCCCGCCUGCCCAGUGAUUUAAUCUAAAUUCAACGGCCGCGUGAUUCUAAGCGCGCAAAGGUAGCAUAAUCAUUUGUUCUUUAAAUAGGGACUCGUAUCAACGGCAUCACGAGGGCUAUACUGUCUCCUCACCCCAAUCAGUGAAACUAAUCUCCCUGUGAAAAAGCAGGAAUAAAAAUAUAAGACGAGAAGACCCCAUGGAGCUUUAAAUACAACAACAAUUUUAAUAAUAUAAACCCAAAUAAUUUUAAAACCCUGUCUGUUAAUUUUAGGUUGGGGUGACCGCGGAGUAAAAUAAAACCUCCACAACGAAAGGGUAUACACCCUUAUUUAAGAAGUACACUUCUAAAAAUCAAUAUUAUGACGUUUAAUGACCCGACUCAUCGAUCAAUGAACCAAGUUACCCUGGGGAUAACAGCGCAAUCCACUUAGAGAGCUCAUAUCGACAAGUGGGCUUACGACCUCGAUGUUGGAUCAGGAUAUCCUAGUGGUGCAGCCGCUACUAAAGG
rnacentral:rRNA from 1 species